rnacentral:rRNA from 1 species
GACGUAGGGCGCGAGCGUUGUCCGGAUUUAUUGGGCGUAAAGAGCUCGUAGGCGGCUUGUCGCGUCGACUGUGAAAACCCGCGGCUCAACUGCGGGCCUGCAGCCGAUACGGGCAGGCUAGAGUUCGGUAGGGGAGACUGGAAUUCCUGGUGUAGCGGUGAAAUGCGCAGAUAUCAGGAAGAACACCCGUGGCGAAGGCGGCUCUCUGGAACGCAACUGACGCUGAGACGCGAAAGCGUGGGGAGCAAACAGG